CUAUACAUGACUCUGCGCAUAUCAAUAAGCGGAGGAAAAGAAACUAACAAGGAUUCCCUUAGUAACGGCGAGUGAGGCGGGAAGAGCUCAAAUUUGAAAUCUUCAAGGGUUCUACCUUGACGAAUUGUAGUUUAUAAGAAGUGUUUUCUGUUAGUAGAGGUGGCUAAAAGUUCUUUGGAAGUAGGACAUCAUAGAGGGUGAGAAUCCCGUAUUUGAUCACUUUCUACUAACGUUGUGAUACACUUUCAAAGAGUCGGAUUGUUUGGGAAUGCAGUCCAAAAUGGGUGGUAAAUUUCAUCUAAAGCUAAAUAUUGGCGAGAGUACCGAUAGCGAACAAGUACCGUGAGGGAAAGAUGAAAAGAACUUUGAAAAGAGAGUUAAACAGUACGUGAAAUUGUCAAAAGGGAAGCGUUUGACACCAGUGUUGUUUUUCCGAAAAUCAAUUACUGAAUGGUUUGAUUUUAGAGUUCAUGACCUUCAAUCGCUUGCUUCUUUUCUUACGUACUUUCGUAAUGCACUUUUCGGUUAACAAGUCAACAUCAAUUUCUUUUGUUGUAAAAGGGUAAUGAGGAAGGUGGCUUUACUUUCGGAGUAAAGUGUUUAUAGCCUUUUAGCCUCUGCAAUCGGAGAGAUUGAGGUCUGCAGCGUAGAUCCUUCGGGGUUAGAUACGUUUGUGCUAAGUUAUAGCUUUUCAUAGACAACUUGUUGACUAUGUUUAGUCUUGUGACUUACUCGCUUACGCUAUUUUACCUACGCUUAGGAUGUUGAUAUGCAUGACUGAUAU
rnacentral:rRNA from 1 species